GUGGGGAAUUUUGGACAAUGGGCGCAAGCCUGAUCCAGCAAUGCCGCGUGCAGGAAGAAGGCCUUCGGGUUGUAAACUGCUUUUGUACGGAACGAAACGGUCCGGGUUAAUACCCUGGGCUAAUGACGGUACCGUAAGAAUAAGCACCGGCUAACUACGUGCCAGCAGCCGCGGUAAUACGUAGGGUGCAAGCGUUAAUCGGAAUUACUGGGCGUAAAGCGUGCGCAGGCGGUUUUGUAAGACAGGCGUGAAAUCCCCGGGCUCAACCUGGGAAUUGCGCUUGUGACUGCAAUGCUGGAGUGCGGCAGAGGGGGAUGGAAUUCCGCGUGUAGCAGUGAAAUGCGUAGAUAUGCGGAGGAACACCGAUGGCGAAGGCAAUCCCCUGGGCCUGCACUGACGCUCAUGCACGAAAGCGUGGGGAGCAAACAGGAUUAGAUACCCGUGUAGUCC
rnacentral:rRNA from 1 species